AGAGUUUGAUCCUGGCUCAGGAUGAACGCUGGCGGCGUGCUUAACACAUGCAAGUCGAACGGGGAUGCCAUUUUUGAAGCGAAUAGCUUGCUAGGAGUGGAAAUGUUGGCAUCUUAGUGGCGGACGGGUGAGUAACGCGUGGGGAACCUGCCCUGUACAGGGGGAUAACACUUAGAAAUAGGUGCUAAUACCGCAUAAGCGCACAGGAUCGCAUGAUCGAGUGUGAAAAACUCCGGUGGUACAGGAUGGACCCGCGUCUGAUUAGCUUGUUGGUGAGGUAACGGCCCACCAAGGCGACGAUCAGUAGCCGGCCUGAGAGGGUGGACGGCCACAUUGGGACUGAGACACGGCCCAAACUCCUACGGGAGGCAGCAGUGGGGAAUAUUGGACAAUGGGGGGAACCCUGAUCCAGCGACGCCGCGUGAGUGAAGAAGUAUUUCGGUAUGUAAAGCUCUAUCAGCAGGGAAGAAGAUGACGGUACCUGACUAAGAAGCCCCGGCUAACUACGUGCCAGCAGCCGCGGUAAUACGUAGGGGGCAAGCGUUAUCCGGAUUUACUGGGUGUAAAGGGAGCGUAGACGGUACAGCAAGUCUGAUGUGAAAGGUCGGGGCCCAACCCCGGGACUGCAUUGGAAACUGUUGGACUGGAGUACAGGAGAGGUAAGCGGAAUUCCUAGUGUAGCGGUGAAAUGCGUAGAUAUUAGGAGGAACACCAGUGGCG
rnacentral:rRNA from 1 species